rnacentral:rRNA from 1 species
AUUGAACGCUGGCGGCAUGCCUUACACAUGCAAGUCGAACGGCAGCACGGGUGCUUGCACCUGGUGGCGAGUGGCGAACGGGUGAGUAAAGUAUCGGAACGUGCCUGGUAGUGGGGGAUAACUAGUCGAGAGACUAGCUAAUACCGCAUACGAUCUAAGGAUGAAAGCAGGGGACCUUCGGGCCUUGUGCUUUCCGAGCGGCCGAUAUCUGAUUAGCUAGUUGGUGGGGUAAAAGCCCACCAAGGCGACGAUCAGUAGCUGGUCUGAGAGGACGACCAGCCAAACUGGAACUGAGACACGGUCCAGACUCCUACGGGAGGCAGCAGUGGGGAAGUUUGGACAAUGGGGGCAACCCUGAUCCAGCAAUGCCGCGUGAGUGAAGAAGGCCCUCGGGUUGUAAAGCUCUUUUGUCAGGGAAGAAAAGGCUGUGGCUAAUAUCCACAGCUGCUGACGGUACCUGAAGAAUAAGCACCGGCUAACUACGUGCCAGCCGCCGCCGAA